AACAGCAGAAGGACAAAGAAAGUCUGAGUUAAACUGGGACCUGAGCUGCCACAAAAAGUAACAUCGUCUACGUAAGACGCAGGUUUCUUUGGUUCCCCGCGGCCCAAAGACUGUAUAUAAAAGUUGGAAGCAAGAGUAGGAUCUGAGUGAGAAACUAACGGCUGCUGCACACGAGGUAGAGCUCCCUUGGUCCUGUAUAUUUCCUGGAAACCCUGCACUCGUGCUUCUAAGCAGGAUGAGGUCCGAUCACCCACCUUGCUGU